CUAAGCUCUUUUAUUAGUUGAUGAACAGAACAAACACAAGUGGACUGUAGACUGAACUAUUUUAAGUGUACGCUUUUUCAUCUGCCUCGCUGUGCUGUCCGUCGCAUUUUUCAACUCGGCGAAUUCCAGAAAAAAAACCAGCAGGGAACCGGGCGCACGUUACCACCUAACCCAUCACCUCAGUAUACUCUGGUCUCCACCAUAUUCGAAGCUCUGGCUACUCCCGUCAAACGAAGACUAUUCUCUGAUCAAUCUAUGGGGACUGGUGAUGAAGUUGUGGAAAUUGAUAGCUUAGAAAAGGGUUUAUUAUCAGAAUCCCGCGGUGGUGGUUCUCGGGAAGAAAGUGAAGCUGAUGACGAAGCAGUUCUCUAUACGGCCUCGUUCGAAGAAAUGGAAGAGAAAUUUAUCAAAUACCAAACAGCACAGUGGGUUAUGUACUCUUUGCUGUUAAUAUUGGCUUGGGGGAUUGGGUUGUUCAUGCUUCUGUAUCUACCAGUUCGAAGAUAUAUCUUACGAAAAGAUAUUCAAUCCAGAAAGCUCUAUCUUACACCUAAUGCCAUUGUCUACAAAGUUACAAAACCAGUAGCAUUUCCAUGUUUUGGAGUGCUAAAGAAAGAGAAGCAUAUUUUAUUACCUUCUGUUGCAGAUAUCGUAAUUGAGCAAGGAUAUUUGCAGUCUCUAUUUGGUGUAUGCUCUCUGAGAAUUGAGAAUGUUGGUGUAAGAAGGCCACCAAGUGAUGAUGUUCAAAUUCAAGGGGUUGCAAAUCCAAAUGCUUUCAAGAAGGCUGUCUUGACACGGCUAUCAUACAUGAGAAAUGAGUUUGGUUCUAGACAAGUUUCUGCAAUUGAAGACAUUCCUAGUUUGAGGAUAGGUCAUUCAUCAUCCCCUUGGAUGUCGCCAUCAAAGUCUCUUAGGCAUGAUUUGCUUCCUAAUUCAGGUGACAUAUUGCUACUACAGAAACUGGAGGAAGUUGGAAGUUCUAUGAAGAGAGUUCAAAGUUUAAUUGAGGAGCAACACUCUCAAUCAUUAGAACCAACCGGUUAAGGUACUUGAUACCAACCCUUGAUACUUGAAGGAGGCAGUCCUACUAACAAUUCAAAAUGCUAACCGUUUUACCAAGUGAACUUAACAAUGCUAGUGAAGCUGAUUCAAACUCCCAUCUAGUUUAGAUAAUAACUUGGAUACAAUCUGUAGGCAUAGAAUUUGAAAGAAGUGAUUUUGCUGAAGCAUAUGUGAGUGGAAAAAAAAAAGUUACUAUUCUUGUUUUACUAUUGCAAGGGUGAUGAUUUUUCUCAACUGGCUGAUAAAUUGAUGAGUCAAGUUUCAACUUCAAGUGAGGUUUGGAGAAUACUGCUGAUUUUACUGGCUGCUUUACAUUGUUAGUUGCAUCUAUUCAUUCCAUUAAACUAGUUCGUGUUUGUUGGUCCAAAUACAGAAUCUUCAUUUGAGUGAGUGCUUGGUUGUGGCUCAUGUGAUUACUGUUUAUGUCCAUCUCUCUCCUUUUACUGUUGUAUUUAUGGUUAAUUGUAUUAUAAAUUUUUUUUUUCUCUCUUCAAACUUCAAA